AAGCAGGAAAUGUGUGUAGCCGUGAAACCGGAAGCGGGAAGCGCGUGCGAUCAUGGAAGACUCACGGGGCGUUGUGCCGGCUCUGCCCAAACAUUCCUACUGGUUUGAUUUCUGGAUGUUUCUGCUGUUCGAUGUCUUUCUUUUCCUCAUCAUUUACUUCGUCAUUCCCUGAGCGCGGUCAGUGUCCUGUCCGGUUCACCGUGAGUGCCUGAUCCUCAGAUGCUAUGGACGGGACGGCAGCGGCAGCUGGACUCAGAUCGGGAGGACUGGCUCUCGUCCUGAACUCUAAAUACAUUUCCUGCUUUACUCACGUCCUGCUUCUCUACAGAAAUGCAUUUAAUGACCUAAAAUCUAAAACUGUCCCUUCAUGCUUCCACUGUGAGGAAUCACUCAAAAUGAAGAGAUACGUGUUCAUCUGUCUGGAUGCUUUAUACACAUUAUCCUGUAAAUUACGACUGAAUGAUAGCCAUUAAAGUGUGUGUUGGAUGCAUGUAUGUAUGAUAAAUUUAAUAAUUAAAUUGGUGUGACAUUAAAUAUAUUUUGGAGUUCUUUAAAAUGAAAACAGAGUAAAACAGACCAGAACAACGUUGAAAGAAAUUAUUAAACUUAAACUUGCUGAAUUAAAUUUUCACAGAAUGACUACUG